ACAAAAUGAAUCGAUUUCUAGACAUUUUAGAAAAGGUUUUGAAAGGUUAGUUAAAUGACGAUACGAAAACCGAAUGUACUGAAUUUUUGGAUUGCAUUAUGGUAUACCGAACCAAAGGCAAAAUACCGCUGUUCUACUAAUACAGCAUCUUCAAACAAUAUUAAUAGAAAAG